GACGAACGCUGGCGGCGUGCUUAACACAUGCAAGUCGAACGGAAAGGCCCUGCUUUUGUGGGGUGCUCGAGUGGCGAACGGGUGAGUAACACGUGAGUAACCUGCCCUUGACUUUGGGAUAACUUCAGGAAACUGGGGCUAAUACCGGAUAGGAGCUCCUGCUGCAUGGUGGGGGUUGGAAAGUUUCGGCGGUUGGGGAUGGACUCGCGGCUUAUCAGCUUGUUGGUGGGGUAGUGGCUUACCAAGGCUUUGACGGGUAGCCGGCCUGAGAGGGUGACCGGCCACAUUGGGACUGAGAUACGGCCCAGACUCCUACGGGAGGCAGCAGUGGGGAAUAUUGCACAAUGGGCGGAAGCCUGAUGCAGCAACGCCGCGUGCGGGAUGACGGCCUUCGGGUUGUAAACCGCUUUCGCCUGUGACGAAGCGUGAGUGACGGUAAUGGGUAAAGAAGCACCGGCUAACUACGUGCCAGCAGCCGCGGUGAUACGUAGGGUGCGAGCGUUGUCCGGAUUUAUUGGGCGUAAAGGGCUCGUAGGUGGUUGAUCGCGUCGGAGGUGUAAUCUUGGGGCUUAACCCUGAGCGUGCUUUCGAUACGGGUUGACUUGAGGAAGGUAGGGGAGAAUGGAAUUCCUGGUGGAGCGGUGGAAUGCGCAGAUAUCAGGAGGAACACCAGUGGCGAAGGCGGUUCUCUGGGCCUUUCCUGACGCUGAGGAGCGAAAGCGUGGGGAGCGAACAGGCUUAGAUACCCUGGUAGUCCACGCUGUAAACGGUGGGUACUAGGUGUGGGGUCCAUUCCACGGGUUCCGUGCCGUAGCUAACGCUUUAAGUACCCCGCCUGGGGAGUACGGCCGCAAGGCUAAAACUCAAAGGAAUUGACGGGGCCCCGCACAAGCGGCGGAGCAUGCGGAUUAAUUCGAUGCAACGCGUAGAACCUUACCUGGGUUUGACAUGGAUCGGGAGUGCUCAGAGAUGGGUGUGCCUCUUUUGGGGUCGGUUCACAGGUGGUGCAUGCCUGUCGUCAGCUCGUGUCGUGAGAUGUUGGGUUAAGUCCCGCAACGAGCGCAACCCUUGUUCACUGUUGCCAGCACGUUAUGGUGGGGACUCAGUGGAGACCGCCGGGGUCAACUCGGAGGAAGGUGGGGAUGACGUCAAGUCAUCAUGCCCCUUAUGUCCAGGGCUUCACGCAUGCUACAAUGGCUGGUACAGAGAGUGGCGAGCCUGUGAGGGUGAGCGAAUCUCGGAAAGCCGGUCUCAGUUCGGAUUGGGGUCUGCAACUCGACCUCAUGAAGUCGGAGUCGCUAGUAAUCGCAGAUCAGCAACGCUGCGGUGAAUACGUUCCCGGG
rnacentral:rRNA from 1 species